UAAUUUGUCUUGGGCAGAUUCUUAUUUAUAGAAGAUCCUAUCUUACUAUUCAAAAUCACCGAUUAUCAGAAUCACGACUACAUCAAACUAGAAAGGAGUGAUGACUGAUAUUAGGUUGAAUU
rfam:Populus trichocarpa scaffold_240_contig_4, whole genome shotgun sequence.